UGUGAUUAUUUCCUGGAAUGG
rnacentral:piRNA from 1 species